rnacentral:lncRNA from 1 species
ACACAGGGCGCGCCGCGCUCGCUCGGCACGGGCAGCUCAGCCGGCCUCACGCCGCCGUCCGCAACAGCAGCCGCGGGCGGGGUGCAGCCACCUCCGUGAGCGCCGCAGCCCGCCCCACUCGGGGCGGGGCCCGCGGGCACCGGAGAGCGGACGGCCGAGCACGAGGGGGCUGCGCGCAGCUCCGGGCAGGGACCCCGUCUGCACCGGGUGGCCUGCAAGAUUGCCGGGGUAGGCAGGGGGAGGAGAACGCUCACCCGUUCCGGUCUGGCGCUCCCUUUUCUCCACACCCACACGCCUCCCGCUCCACGCUGGCGGCGCAGCUGCUCCCGCUGCCACAGCCGCCACCGCCGCCGAAGCUCGCGCCGCCGCCGCUGCCGCCUUGGCUGAGCGCGGUCACGUGACGCGAUCCGCGGGGAGCCUGGGGGCGGGCGAGUGCGCGCGCGCGCGCGCGGAGGAACCGCGGCUCGGACCGGGACUGGGAGCUGAGCGGCACUGGGAGGGCGUUUAAGGGGAGGACCCGGCGAGCGCGCCCUCGGCUGGCGAGCGCGCGCCUGGCGAUUAGAACUUGCCGCGCGGUCGGGAAAGGGUGGCCGGAGUGAGGGGCGGAGGUGGGGACUUGCGCCUCCGCACGCCCCUCCCUUUCUUCCUUCCCCUGAGCGCCUUGGCUUGCCGCUGCCCCCGCCCCCUCCAGCGCGCCCCUUCCCUCCUGCCGCAGCCUGCGAUUGGCUGAGAGGCUCUGACGUCCGUGUUUCCAUGACGUGUUGGUGCAGGAGGGAGCGGCGGGGGAGGAGGGGGUGGCCAGGCGCGCGGGGAGGUGACUCCGUCAGUCACAGCUGCUGUUUCGGCGCGGGGCCGGGCCGCUGCCGCGACGUGUGGAGGCAGGAGAGCGAUGAUUGCCGCAGGAGAAGUGCGGGCGCCCUUCACCUGGGGCCCCUCCCGAACCGCCCCCGGGCCCAUGCCCCUCCAGGGCCCAGGAGCGAGCCAGCGGGAGGGCGAGGGCGAGCGCUCCUGGCGAGGACAGAUUAAGGCGAACCCCCAGUCAGCGGACAUUUGAGCGGCUCCUCGCCGCGUCUCUGCCCCCACUCCAAACCGGACUCGACGCCUGUCCCGGGCCGUGACGCACGCACCGGAGGAAAAAGUGCUUCUCGGCUCGCUCCCUCUUUGGGGAAGAGAGCUCACUCCCCAUGCGGGCGCGGGACACUCCAUCUCUGUUCCUGCCGGUCGGGUCCGCAAACACCGGGGAUCCCAGCUGCGGCGCCCAAAGGGUUAACGCAGGCGUUCGGCCAGUGCAAACCGGCCUCGCAGGAUCCGCGCUUAAAAUCCGGGUGUUUUCAUUUUGGGUUUGUUUCUUCUACUAUGCCAAGCUGGUGGCUCUCUUUUAAUUCUCUUGUAACAUCUCAACCCUGCACCCAUCUUUCCUGAGGGGAAAAGGAAACGGGAUAACUUGCGGUAUUUCGAUGCUCAAAGGUAACCGGCGGCUCUGCUCCAACCUUCAAGAGAUUUUGCAAGUUGAAAAAAAAAAAAAAACCAUCCUUCGUAACAUCUACUUAAAAAAAAAAAAGCAAGUUUUCCUUCUUGUACACGCAUAUACACAGUAAAGAUGUGUAUCUUACCUAAGAUACCGCGCUUCAUCUUCAUCUAAUCUUUAUUUGAACUCACCGUCGCCACUGGCCCAGAGACCUUGUCAGUGUUAUUUUCAGUAUCAGUUAAUCAGAACAAAAAGAUAAGUUCUGCAAUCUUCUUUCUCUUAAUUCCAGAACUGGAAAAUUAAUAUUUAUAUAGCCUCCUCAAAAGCAUACAGGCAAUAGGAAGUAUGGUAUUAUGUUCACGAUCUGAUGAUAGCAUUUGUUUUAAAAUAUUUUAAAAGAUUAGACACAAAAUGUGUAAAAGACGUUUAAAAGUGAAUAAAUAUAAAUCAAUGCUGUUG